UUUUUUUUCUUUUUUUUUUUUUUUUUUGCGAUUUUCCUUACAGGAGUAGGGUGAAUUUGCUCACAUGUCCUCCAGCUCUUAUGAACAUUUUGCUUUGUUUUCAACUUAUACUUUCUUCAAUUUCGAUCUUGAGUAAUGAUUUUCAAUUUAGUUCUGGCAGUUUAGUUUCUUGACAAAUCAACCAUGUAUUGAGCCAUGAGUUUCAUAAAAUUAUCAAACUUAUAAUGUAUAAGCUCUGUGAAGAAAAGACGGCAUUACAUGAUUACAUCACUAGUAAUUGAAUGGGAUAUAUACAGUCUAGUGGUUAAGGGGCUAUGUUUUCGAAGGCACUGAAGAUGAUUCAAUCUGAAAUUUUGCCACAUCACUUUGGCUAAUUCAUUUGAUUUUUUCAGUUACUUAUAGUUGUCAACUUGUCAUUCUAUAAAAGAAAUAUAUUUUCAAAAUAUAAGAUGGUAAAUAGAAACCACAGUUUCUUAAUUAAUAUAGCCACUAUUUAAUAAGAAGUGCUUUUUUAUUUUUUAUUUUUUUCCCAAUGGAGAUUUUAAACCUCACAAGAAGAAGAAAGAGGAGGAAAUGAUUGACAAUCAAUCAAAGAUCUUGCAAUUGACUAGUUUUUUUUUUUAAAAAAAAAAAAUUAACUAGUAAGUAGUAGUAUAUAACAUGGCUGAACUGUCUGGGUCAGGAAAAUUCGACGCUGAACAUAUCCACCAUUAUCCAAGUACGGCCCAUUUUAACUUGGGCUUAAUUUUUUGGACCCCCAUAUCAGACCAAGCCAAUCUAUGUAGAUGGCUUGGACCUAGUUCCGUAUAUUCAAAGGACCAUCUCUUACUAAAUAUAGGAUAAAUUACUUAUUACCCUCAAUGCAGAUUUACAUAAUACUAGAUGAACCUCUUAAAGUUUUAAAAUGGUCAUAUAACCCUCGUGGUUUUAUGUAAAUUGUAAAGUAGAAAAUAAACAGAAUGUACAACCAAUUUCAGCAUUUAUACCAAACACAUUUUAAAAGAACAUGUGAUGAAGUCUUAAUAUCCAUAUAACACUCUUAUAAUUUGUAUAAAUUUUCAUUUUAAUCUCUUGUAAUUUUUAUAUUUAUCCACAUAAUUUUCCUAUACUUUUAUACAAGGUUUUAGGGGAGGGGGGAGGAAGGAGAGGAGGAAGAUGGAGGAGAGAAAGAGAGAGGGGGAGAAAGAAAAGAAAGGAGAAAAAAAAAAGAAGAGUCAUCGGGCCUUGAUGCUAGCGCCGGUGGAGUGGCGGUCGGUAGCGGCUAUUGGUGGAGGUGGUGGUAGAAUGAGUUGUGGGGAGGUAGAAGAAGAAAGAAGGGAAAAAUUUUUUAUAUGUGUUUGGGCAUUUGCGGUAUGCAUUUUAAAAAAAGUUUGUAGAGUUUUUUGAGAUAAUUGUAAUUAAAGUUAUUAAAAAAACUCGUAAUCAAAAAACUUAGGUUCCAUACAGACCCUUGAAUAUAAUUAUAUGACUAGAAGCAAGUCACAAAAGAAACUAAACACAGGAAGGGAAGAAAAAAAAAGGAAGUUCCACAGCAAAGAAAACAUGGUCCCAAGUAUUUAGAUGCCAGAACUUGACACUUGCUGCGCAUACACAUUUUUUGCGACAAGUAGCAGAUCAUUUUUCUUUAGCAUUGUAAGACCCGGUAAAACUUCAGUAUCAAUGUCUUCUUUCUUGAUCCCAGAAGGCAAUUCCCAGUCAAAAGAAUACAGAAGAUUGGCAAGUCCAACUUCCACCAUUGCUAGUCCCAGAGAAUAUCCAGGGCAGCCCCUUCGCCCAGCCCCAAAU
rnacentral:lncRNA from 1 species